rnacentral:tRNA from 1 species
GGUUGUGGCUCAGCUGUAGAAAACACUCGCCUAGAACAUGUGAGGUCCUGGGUUCGAUCCUCAGCAUCAAUCA